GCCAUGGGCAGGUUGAAGGUUGGGUAACACUAACUGGAGGACCGAACCGACUAAUGUUGAAAAAUUAGCGGAUGACCUGUGGCUGGGGGUGAAAGGCCAAUCAAACCGGGAGAUAGCUGGUUCUCCCCGAAAGCUAUUUAGGUAGCGCCUCGUGAAUUCAUCUCCGGGGGUAGAGCACUGUUUCGGCUAGGGGGCCAUCCCGGCUUACCAACCCGAUGCAAACUGCGAAUACCGGAGAAUGUUAUCACGGGAGACACACGGCGGGUGCUAACGUCCGUCGUGAAGAGGGAAACAACCCAGACCGCCAGCUAAGGUCCCAAAGUCAUGGUUAAGUGGGAAACGAUGUGGGAAGGCCCAGACAGCCAGGAUGUUGGCUUAGAAGCAGCCAUCAUUUAAAGAAAGCGUAAUAGCUCACUGGUCGAGUCGGCCUGCGCGGA
rnacentral:rRNA from 1 species